rnacentral:rRNA from 1 species
AACGCGAAGAACCUUACCAGGGCUUGACAUCCUACUAACGAAGCAGAGAUGCAUUAGGUGCCCUUCGGGGAAAGUAGAGACAGGUGGUGCAUGGUUGUCGUCAGCUCGUGUCGUGAGAUGUUGGGUUAAGUCCCGCAACGAGCGCAACCCUUAUCGUUAGUUGCUACGCAAGAGCACUCUAGCGAGACUGCCGUUGACGAAACGGAGGGAGGUGGGGACGACGUCAAAUCAUCAUGCCCUUUAUGUCCUGGGCUACACACGUACUACAAUGGCGGUCAACAGAGGGAGGCAAACCCGCGAGGGGGAGCAAAACCCUAAAAGCCGUCUCAGUUCAGAUCGCAGGCUGAAACCCGCCUGCGUGAAGGUGGAAUUGCUAGUAAUCGCGGAUCAGCAUGCCGCGGUGAAUACGUUCCCGGGUCUUGUACACACCG